ACCACUUCUCGGCCUUUUGGCUAAGAUCAAGUGUAGUAUCUGUUCUUAUCAGUUUAAUAUCUGAUAGAUCCUCUAUCUGAGGACAAUAGAUUUUUGGACGUAGGAGUUGGAAUAGGAGCUUGCGUGGUCCACUGCACACAUCAACCUUGUAUUGCAGGACCUCCAGGAACAGUGCACCCCCU